AUGGAAACAAUUGUGCAGGGAAGUCUCAACAUUAGUGUUAGGGCUCUGCAAAAAGAUGCAGAGGAUCUAAUUGGAUUCCCUGUUAGCUACAGCAAGGCUAGGCAUGCGAAGGAAAAUAUAUUCAAGAACUUGUAUGGUACCUAUGAGGAGGCAUAUUCUUAUGCCCCUAGAAUGCUUCAUCAAAUAGCAAGUGCUAAUAGGGGGACUCAAGUUUGGCGGAGAGAACGUCCAAACCCAAUGAACCCGGGUGAGCUAAUCCUGGACCGCUUAUUCUGGGCAUUCGCCCAGACUAUACAAGCCUUCAGGCACUGUCGCCCGGUAUUAUCUGUUGAUGGUACCUUUCUCACUGAAAAGUACAAGGGCACACUAUUGGUGGCGAUUGCAGCGGAUGCAAAUAAUCAACUUCUUCCUAUUGCAUAUGCAUUGGUCGAGAGCGAGAACAAAGAUAGCUGGUUGUGGUUCCUGAGCUGCGUGAAGAUUGGUGUCGUGAAAGAGCGUAAAGGUGUUUGCAUCAUUUCUGAUUGCAACACUGAAUUAUUAAGCGCUCUUGAAAUAAUUAAGGUGUCGGAAGAAGAGUGGGGCUGGCCCGAUCUAGAGGGAAGGUGGUGCAUGAGGCAUUUGGCAGCAAACUUUUACUCCAACUUCGAAAACCAGGAUUGGUUCAAGUUAUUCAAGAGGAUGUGCAUGCAAAAAACUAAAGCCAAAAUGAAUGCGAUAUGGGCAGGUAUCAAUGGUGAGAUCGACCGCGCGGCCUUGCCGCAGAGAGAAGACCGGAGGGGUCGUAGGACGGCCAUAAAUUUGAGCCAGUGGAUCACCGAGAAUUGCCCUCAUUUGGAGAAGUGGGCACAGGCUCACGACACCGGGGCUCGGUAUGGAAUAAUGACCAGCAACAUGUCAGAGGUGUACAAUGGUGUUCUUAAAGGGGUGCGAGCACUGCCUAUCACAGCCCUAAUUGAAGAAACUUGGAACCGGACCCUGUCAUACUUUGCAGACAGGGUCACCGUCGCCAAAGCACAAGUUGAAUUGAACAAGCCAUGGUUCGAGAAGAUGCAAAGACAUCUGGACGAGAAAGCAAAGAAGUCCCAAAGUCAUGGCUGCAGGAAAGUGGACGCACUUAGGAAUAAGUGGGAGGUCAAUGUGCGAGCCAAGUACGUUAAGGGUCACCACAGAGGAUCAAAAAAGCAAGCUGUCACCCUUGGCUCAACCUCCUGUGAGUGCACUUGUAAUAAGCCCAAGCUUGAGGGCUACCCUUGCAGUCAUGUGCUCUGGGCGGCUGUUGUUCAAAAAAUCAGCUUCGAGCCAUACAUAUCGCCGUACUUUAACAUGUACAAUCUGUACAACACUUGGAACGGUGAGUUCUGGGCUUGGGGCAUUGAUAUGAACUACAAAAUGUUGUGGCCAGAUGGGCCGAAAUGGGUUCCGAACACCGACUUGAUGAGAACCGCAAAGGGACGACGUCAGUCUAGGCGUCAUCGCAAUGACAUGGACCAUAGCCAGAUGGGAGAACCAAGGCGAUGUCGCGUUUGCAGGUGUCCUGGACAUUCACGCAAAGACUGCCCGUAUCGAGCCAACAACAACGCAUAA
rnacentral:rRNA from 1 species